CAGCAGCCGCGGUAAUACGUAGGUCCCGAGCGUUGUCCGGAUUUAUUGGGCGUAAAGCGAGCGCAGGCGGUUAGAUAAGUCUGAAGUUAAAGGCUGUGGCUUAACCAUAGUACGCUUUGGAAACUGUUUAACUUGAGUGCAAGAGGGGAGAGUGGAAUUCCAUGUGUAGCGGUGAAAUGCGUUGAGAUCGGAAAGAACACCAACGGCGAAAGCACUCUGCUGGGCCGACACUGACACUGAGAGACGAAAGCUAGGGGAGCAAAUGGGAUUAGAGACCCCGGUAGUCCCUGUCUCUUAUACC
rnacentral:rRNA from 1 species